rnacentral:rRNA from 1 species
AAGUCGAACGAUGAAGCCGGGGCUUGCUCUGGUGGAUUAGUGGCGAACGGGUGAGUAACACGUGAGCAACCUGCCCUGGACUCUGGGAUAAGCGCUGGAAACGGCGUCUAAUACUGGAUACGAGACGUGGCCGCAUGGUCAACGUUUGGAAAGAUUUUUCGGUCUGGGAUGGGCUCGCGGCCUAUCAGCUUGUUGGUGAGGUAAUGGCUCACCAAGGCGUCGACGGGUAGCCGGCCUGAGAGGGUGACCGGCCACACUGGGACUGAGACACGGCCCAGACUCCUACGGGAGGCAGCAGUGGGGAAUAUUGCACAAUGGGCGGAAGCCUGAUGCAGCAACGCCGCGUGAGGGAUGACGGCCUUCGGGUUGUAAACCUCUUUUAGCAGGGAAGAAGCGAAAGUGACGGUACCUGCAGAAAAAGCGCCGGCUAACUACGUGCCAGCAGCCGCGGUAAUACGUAGGGCGCAAGCGUUAUCCGGAAUUAUUGGGCGUAAAGAGCUCGUAGGCGGUUUGUCGCGUCUGCUGUGAAAUCCCGAGGCUCAACCUCGGGCCUGCAGUGGGUACGGGCAGACUAGAGUGCGGUAGGGGAGAUUGGAAUUCCUGGUGUAGCGGUGGAAUGCGCAGAUAUCAGGAGGAACACCGAUGGCGAAGGCAGAUCUCUGGGCCGUAACUGACGCUGAGGAGCGAAAGGGUGGGGAGCAAACAGGCUUAGAUACCCUGGUAGUCCACCCCGUAAACGUUGGGAACUAGUUGUGGGGUCCUUUCCACGGAUUCCGUGACGCAGCUAACGCAUUAAGUUCCCCGCCUGGGGAGUACGGCCGCAAGGCUAAAACUCAAAGGAAUUGACGGGGACCCGCACAAGCGGCGGAGCAUGCGGAUUAAUUCGAUGCAACGCGAAGAACCUUACCAAGGCUUGACAUACACGAGAACGGGCCAGAAAUGGUCAACUCUUUGGACACUCGUGAACAGGUGGUGCAUGGUUGUCGUCAGCUCGUGUCGUGAGAUGUUGGGUUAAGUCCCGCAA